GAUCAUGGCUCAGGAUGAACGCUAGCUACAGGCUUAACACAUGCAAGUCGAGGGGCAGCAUGGUCUUAGCUUGCUAAGGCCGAUGGCGACCGGCGCACGGGUGAGUAACACGUAUCCAACCUGCCGUCUACUCUUGGACAGCCUUCUGAAAGGAAGAUUAAUACAAGAUGGCAUCAUGAGUUCGCAUGUUCACAUGAUUAAAGGUAUUCCGGUAGACGAUGCGG
rnacentral:rRNA from 1 species